rnacentral:lncRNA from 1 species
UGCCAGUCUUCGUAUGGAUUUUCUUAUAGAGGCCAGAUGACUUUGUAUAGUUGUAAGCGAUCUGAGAAACACCCUUUCCAACCAUUGGACUAGAGAAGAUCAAGAUCAAAAUUUUUUUGGUAAUGAUCUCUAACUUGUUUUGAUUUUUAUGCUAGAUCUAAUAGUUAGAUCUAGAAUUUCAGUAUCGAUGAGAUCGAUGUGAUUUUUAUUUUCAGAUCUAAAAUAUAUAUUUUUCAUAUCAAAAAUUUUGAUGUAGUAGUCUAAGAUUAGGUCUUAUACAUAUAAUUAAGAUUAAAUUAUUUAAUCCAUUAUUUUCACUAUAUAAAAUUUUAAAAUUGCAUGUACUGUACUACCAUAAAUUUUCUUCACUUAGUGUUGAGUUCACUACAUUUGCUUCGCACCAUAAGUCCGAUCUUGGUGAACCAAGCUAGGAUCUCUCAAGUAGAUCCAUUAAUUAUAGAUUAUAUUGGAUGUAAAUAAAUAAUUAAAAAUAAAGAGAUCUAAAUUAAAUCUCCUCAUAGAUAUUAAGUCGAGCGAUCUUCCGUCAUUGUAGAUAUGUGGGCACUCUACUAAUGUUGAUUGUUCUCGACUGAAUACAGGAGUUCAGUUAUAUCAGGAGAGCGCAAUCACUCUAUUAACAUGAGAUGUUGCAGGGUGGAGAUAGAGUUGGAUCCAAUAACCAUUAGGUAAGGGACCCAAUGAUGACUUCACUUACGUAAGAAU